GAUCAUGGCUCAGGACGAACGCUGGCGGCGUGCCUAAUACAUGCAAGUAGAACGCUGAAGGAGGAGCUUGCUUCUCUGGAUGAGUUGCGAACGGGUGAGUAACGCGUAGGUAACCUGCCUGGUAGCGGGGGAUAACUAUUGGAAACGAUAGCUAAUACCGCAUAAUAGCAGUUGUUGCAUGACAACUGUUUGAAAGGUGCAAUUGCACCACUACCAGAUCGG
rnacentral:rRNA from 1 species